rnacentral:rRNA from 1 species
GAUGAACGCUAGCUACAGGCUUAACACAUGCAAGUCGCGGGGCAGCAUGAAUUUAGCUUGCUAAAUUUGAUGGCGACCGGCGCACGGGUGAGUAACGCGUAUCCAACCUUCCCCUGUCCACGGGAUAGCCCGUCGAAAGGCGGAUUAAUACCGUAUGAGGUCACACGAUGGCAUCAGACUGUGACGAAAGGUUUGGCGGACAGGGAUGGGGAUGCGUCCGAUUAGGUAGUCGGCGGGGUAACGGCCCACCGAGCCGACGAUCAGUAGGGGUUCUGAGAGGAAGGUCCCCCACAUUGGAACUGAGACACGGUCCAAACUCCUACGGGAGGCAGCAGUGAGGAAUAUUGGUCAAUGGGCGAGAGCCUGAACCAGCCAAGUAGCGUGCAGGAAGACGGCCCCUAUGGGUUGUAAACUGCUUUUAUAGGGGAAUAAAGUGAGCCACGUGUGGUUUUUUGCAUGUACCCUAUGAAUAAGGACCGGCUAAUUCCGUG